ACAUCACUUUUAUUUCUUCCUCUCCAAAAUCCCUUUUCACGGCCGAUGCUCAUAGACUCAAAACCACCGUAACCUCAUUGUAGAUCGACGUUUCUCUUUCACUCGUCGACCACCAUGAAACCUAAUACCGAGACGAAAGGAGGCCAAACACCCCUAUUCUUCUUUAAACCCAAAAAACCGAGACUCCUAAACCUAAAAAGACAUCUACCUUUCGGAUUUAUGACUCUGACGACAUGCAAGCUCCACUCGACCCCGACGAGACCCUCCGAUAACUACUCCGGUGACUCUAAGCAACCUUUAUGGUGGGAAGGGUGACUAACAACCGAAGACGACGGAGGGUGAUCAGCUAACAACCGAUAUGGUCAGACGUGGCAUUGUAGGCAUCAAUAACAGAGCCCUUGAUUAGGGCAGAGAUGGCAGCUAUCGAGCAUUAAAUGCCCGGGAUUAUGUUUUCCUAACUUUUGUUUUUUUUAAUUAAAAUAAGAGUAAAAUAUAGUAAUAAUUACUGAA